CUGGUAUGUUAGAAAUCAUUUAUCUGUUUUCUUGUUGUUAUCAGCCUUUCUUAUUAGAAGGUCAGCUCCAUGAGGAUGAGAUCUUAGGUAUCCUAUCGACCUCUUAUUCCUAACCCUGGAAUAGAGAUAGGUAUUUAAUAAAUACUUGUUGAAUUAAUUAAUGCUCAAUAAACCAAAGGCAUGGAAUUGCCUUUGGUACCAUGGAGUCCUCAAACAAAUAUUGUUUGAAUGAACAAAUCUAUUUUUUGACCUCCCUUUACUUCUGACUGAAUCUAAGAAACCACAUGUCUCUUCUCUGGGGAAAAAAAAAAAAAGAUUCUAUCUGAGUUAGCAGACAGCCUAGAUAGCUGGUCAAUCAUUUAUAACUCAUUUGCUGUCCAGCCCACAUUAUCACUUUAUCUAACUUGUCUCUCAUAAAAUGACAGAAAACUACUGAAAAUCACUCAGCUCUUUUAAAUCCCCCUGAUACAAACCCAGAGUGAAAAGGCAUAGAUAUUGCUCUCCCCAGGGGGAAGCAAUCCCCACCCUAGUUACCAUCCACUGGAAGGCAUUAUAAUUCCUCACUGGAAAUCUAUCAUCUUCAACUUUUCCACCUACCCAGGAACACUCUGUGGUAAUAACUCUAAGGAGCUGUGUUUCAACUCCAGCUGUGGAUCCAAUUUCCACUUAUAAGAUUUAACCUGGAAAUUAUCAGUGACAACCACAGGGAAGGGAAUGAACAGCUGAUUUGGGAGGUACAGUGGAAGAAGUUGACUCAGCCUGGCAAGAGGAAAAGACAAAUGAUGCACAAGGCAGACCAGAAUAAAGGAUGCCCUUGUGGAAAUGAAACGUGAUGUACAGUAAUUCCAACUGUACAUCACGUUUAGCCACCAAACAGCCUAUUAACAAAUAAGUGUCUUGAUAUGAUUAUAGAUAAGACAAGUAAAAUUAAAGAACAUCACAUGCAAUAAAAGGUACAUCUGGGAGCUUUGAGAACUACUGAGAGGUCUUAGCAGCAGGAGGAGAUGACAGCUAGAUCACGCUUUGAGAAAAUCAGAGGAAACGUGAUACAUGGGGAAAAGUCUAACUAUUUAAUUAGGGUGCAGAUGGAGGGAGUGAUUAGUCACCAAUUCUAAAAUAUUAAGGAUAAAUACUGAGAAUUAUAAAAAUGUAUAGUGAAAAGUCAAAAAAUGUCAGCAUAUUUUGCCAUAGGCAUUUUAUUCAUUCUAUAAACACUGCUACACACAUAAGUGCCAGGCACUGGGCUAAUCCACAGUAGGAGAAUAAAGACAUCAUAUCCUUUGGAAAGACUGAGUUCUGGGGACAGACAAGGCAGCUGAAGAAUACAGGAACAAACUUUGGAAUGCGAAUCCAUGCAUUCUACUCCCACAAAAGCAACACUCUUCACAUUUAAAGAACAAGAAUACCUUGAUCCAUUAUUACUCAUUUUUGCAUAAACUUUCUCAUUCAAUUUUCACAACACCCUUUGAGCUAUGCGUUGCUGCCUCCUCCCCAUACUGGCAACAAAACUGAGGUUCUGGGACAUUUACACAAGCACAUAGCUAAAGAUUAAAGAAGUUGUGAUUUGAACCUACUGUUUGCUCCAAAACCUGUGUUCUUUCCACUAUGUUGUCUCUGUGGAUACUGGCCCAAAUGAUGCCUGGUAAAUAUACAAACUAUACAGGUUCCCUCUUUCUUGGGCUUUAUUUCCCAAUGAAGUGAUCCCAUCUUGCCUUCUCAAAGAGCAAGUGCCUUUCAAACCUCUCUCAGCAGGAUGAGAAAUGUAUUUAUAGUCUGGAUAAUGGGAAGAGGGAAGCAAAUGUUUAAUUCUUCUCAACAGUAUCUGAAGGUUAACAUGUGUUAUAUCAUAGCCUUAAGCUCAAAGAAUGAAUAAAAACCUCCAAAGGACAAUUGGGUCAGGGACUAGCUGAGAGGGACGAAGGGAGGUAUUCCAGGAAGGAAAGGAAGUCCCUGAAAACUCCACAGAAGUCCCACAAAUAGCACAGGGAAAAGCAGAAGGGUCAGCCAUGAGGGACCCCCUGUAGGAUGCAGGACGACAGAGCCCUCGGUGGAGCAGUAGCAUGAAUGAAGCCAUCCCCAGCACAGUCAGCUGUCUCAGUCUGCUGUCUGCAAUGGGGAUCAGCAACCCAGACGGUGCUGACCGAGCUGGAGCUCAGAGGAAACCUCGCAGCCUGGAAGCCCGGCCACAACGCUAGGAGGCAGCAAAGCACCUGGGAAAGAAGCUCAUUUCAAUUAACUUUAGCUCUGGAAGUAUUUGCUAUCUGGUAAACAUGUGGCAUUCUGCUGGAGUUGUGAAUAUAAUAACAGACUAGAAAUCCUAGUCUUGACCAUUUGAGGGUGUAUAGUCUCACUGGGGACCUAAGAGAAAGAAAAUCCAGUCAAUUUUUUAAAGAGGGGUUGGGAGUGUUGGAACUAUGCCAGAGAUGGUGGCCUGGAGGAGGGAGGGUUUUAGCAAACAGAUGAAGAGAGACAAAAGCAAGCUACUUAGGUGGAGAGAGCUUCGUGCAACAGGUAGAUUUUGAGAUAAUUAUGAUGAGAGAAAGGGGAAGCUCUUUGAUAGAAAACAAGAGUCCUGAUGGUAAGCAAACCCAAAAAAGAUGGAGGUGGGGGAAAAUGCAUUACAAUGAUGCCAGCCUAAUUCAACAGAGGAGCACCUAUUACAUGACAUCCUAGGGCUACCUGUUUAUGAUCAUUGUUUAAUUUGAUAUACAAUAAUUUUAUUAAAGAAAGUACUCUGCUUAUCCCUAUUAUAAAGAGAAUCUCAGAGAUAAAGUAAUUUCUCUAACAGGCAAGAAAAGAGCACCAGAACAUGAAAGAUCAUCCACACCAUCUUUCACUCAAGUGUCUCAUGGGUCAGAUGCAAGUGACACAAAAGUAAAUAUUUUCCCUGACCUCGAGGAGCACCUAGCUUGUUUCAAGGAACACGAACAAACUUAUCAGGGAUUUCAAUCCGAUAUAAUGUGUCAUAGCAACCAAUUCAGACAAAGUUUUGGUUUAUAGAAGAUCCUGUGUGGCACAUGAAGCAAGCCUUGAAAAAUAAACAGAAGUCAAGCCACAGACCAGGAGAAAAUAUCUGAAAAGACACAUCUGGUAAUGGACUGUUACCCAAAACAUAUAAAAAUUCUUAAAUCUUAAUAAUAACCUGAAUUAAAAAUGGGCCAAAGACCUUAACAGACACCUAACUAUAUAUAUAUAUAUAUAUAUAUAUGGCAGAAAAGCACAAAAAAGAUGCCCCAUAUCAUAUUUCACCAGAGAAAUAAAAUUAAACCAAUAAUAUACCACUACACUUAUUAAAAUGGACAAAAUCCAUAACAUUGACACCACCAAAUGUUGGCUAGGAUGUUGAGAAGCAGGAACUCUCAUACACUGGUAGUAUGAAUGCAAAAUGGUAUGGACACUUUGGGACAGCUUUGCAGUCUCACAAAACUUAAUAUACUCUUAUCAUGUUAUCUAAGCAAUCGUGCUCCUGAGUAUUUACCCAAAAAAGUGCACAUAAAUACCUGCAUGUCGAUGUAUCUAGCAGCUUUAUUCAAAACUGUCAAAACUUGGAAGCAAUCGAGAUGCCUUUCACUAAGUGAAUGAAUACAUAAACUGAGUCCAUCCGGACUAGGGAAUAUUAUUCAGCACUAAAAAGAAAUGAGCUAUCAAGCAAUGAAAAUCUGUGUAUAAAACUUAAAUGCAUAUUAUUCGGAGAAAAGAGUCAAUCUGAAAUAACACCUGCAUGAUUCCAACUGUACUGCAUUCUGAAAAACAAAAAAUUGACACCAUAAAACAAAAAAACAAAACAAAACCUGCAUUUGCCAUGGGUUAGUUGGGAGGAAGGAAUAACAAGGCAGAGCAGAGAGGACUUUUAGGGCAGUGGAAGUACUCUGUGCGCUAUGCUGGAAACAUAUUAUUAUACAUUUCCCAAACCCAUAGAACGUAUAGCACCAGGAGCAAACUCUAAUGUAAACUUUGGACUUUGGGUGAUGAUAAUAUGAUAAUAUAACAAGGUCCAUCAAGUAUAACAAAUAUACCACUUUGGUGGAUGAUGUUGACAAUGGAUGAGGCUCUGCAUGUAUGGGAGCAAGUGGCAUGCGGGAAAUCUCAGUAUUCUGUUACGUCUUGCUAUAGAUCUAAAACUAUUCUUUAAAAAGUCUAUUAAAAAUAUUUACCCAAAAAAAAAGUCUAUUAAAAAUAAUAAAGUAGGGCAGCCCAGGUGGCUCAGUGGUUUAGCGCUGCCUUCACCCCAGGGCCUGAUCCUGGAGUCCUGGGAUCCAGUCCCACGUCGGGCUCCCUGCAUGGAGCCUGCUUCUCCCUCUGCCUGUGUCUCUGACUCUCUCUCUCUCUCUCUCUGUGUCUCUCAUGAAUACAUAAAAUCUUUAAAAAGAAAAUAAUAAUAAUAAUAAUAAUAAUAAUAAUAAUAAUAAAGUAAUAAUAAUGAUAAAAUAAUGAAUGAAUAUAUCCAGGUAAAGAAAGGAGUAAGGACUGCUUCAAGAUGAGGGAUUAGCCUGCAUUGAUUGCAGGGGUGGAAAGGCCCAGUGGUUCACAUAGGGAAGUGUACAGCAGGAGGUCCUAGGGGCUACGGGUAUGGACUCUGAAGGCGGAUGUCUAGUCUAAGUCUCGCUAGCUGUGAGAAAAGUCAUUAACCUCUUUGUGCUUCAGUGUUCUCAUCCGUAAAAGAGGAACAAUAAUUAUCCAUGUCUGAUAGAGCUGUUACGAGGAUUACAUGAGUUAAUAUUUAUAGAAAACCUACACUGGCACCUGGCAAAUACAUAAUGUGUUUUGACUGGUGUUUUAAGACAUGAAGGCCCUUUUGUAUUAUGCUAAGGAACUUGGAUGGAUCCCUGUCACUCCACCUCAGAACACCUACCAUGCUGGGCUAUUUCUUUCUAUAUAAAUUGAGAGCUUUCUGGGAUAUGAUCACCAACUGGCCCUUCUAGUUCCAAGACCAUUUGUGUAUCGCGUACAGGAACGAAUCCAGUUGUUUCUGACAAGGAGCAUGGUAGCCAUUCUUGCCCUCUCUUUUUCUGUUCAGACAUACUCGUUUUUAAUUGUCUGCUUAAAAAUGAGGCUUUAAAAUGGAAGAAAUGGGGCUUGAGCAUUGCAAAUGGCUCUCUAAGUGGAGUUUCAUCCCACCCUUGGAUCCCUCCCUGCCAUGUGUCACUGAUGCAAAAGUGGAACAAAUCACCAGGAGUGAUUUGCUUCUUCUCCUCUAUCCACCCACACUUUUCAUGCAUGUGUAAACCAUGAAAUAAAAGUCCCCUGGAGGCCAAAACAGUGACCCAAAUGAAAACUUAAAGUAUUUCCAACCCUUAUCCUUCAUCAUGUGCACAUAACACAAAAUUAAUCAGUAUAAAGAAUCACAUAAGGUACUUGCUUUGAUUUAUAUUUCUACUUUUAUGUCCUUUUGCUUAAAUGGUAUUCCCCUGCCCCCAUUUUAAAAACACAUCAGAGCAUCUUAAAAACGAAACAAGAUGUUUUCAUUGCCACUCCACAUGCUUAGAGUAAGCUUUCGUAUUUGUGCUGCAGAAGAAAUGAGUUCAAUUUUUCCUUCACCCAUUGCAAGCAAUUGGGAGCACAGAACAUUCGAGCACGGAGAGAUGGGAUGUCAUCUCAUUCUACCUGUUGGGGGUCACUUUCCCCACAGGUUCCAGAGUGAAAAGACCCCACAGCCACCAAUUCUAUGUGUUUUCAACAUCAACUUGAAAAGUAGGCUCAGAAGUGAAGUAGAAGAUAAUUAAAAACAACUCUCUGCUUCAAAGACUCAUCAACCUAGAUUUCCAGGCCUGUUCCAGGGAGAGGCGUGUGUGCAUAAAAGCAGUUUCUUGCUAUCUCACCAAGCCUCACAAUUCACAAUUAGUGUGUUAAUAGUCAUUGGAUUUCAAAGAUGAAUAAGGGGAAACUUAGAGGAAGCAAGUGACUUACUCAAUUGUUCUACAGAAAUAUGUCAGGAGCACAAUUAGAACCAAAGUGGCCCCAUG
rnacentral:lncRNA from 1 species